CUGUGAGGAGCUGGGCUGGUGGCUGCAGCAGGGAGGGAGGCCGAGAGCCGGGUGGGUCCCCUUCGGCUGUGGGGGUCUUUUGUGUAGAAAACAGAGAAAAAAAAUGGAUGUUAAAAAGGAGAUGUGUUGCAGUGGGGCAGGUCAGGAGUCCACAGCUCAGUCCCUGGGCCCAGAUCGAAGGUACCAACAAGCCAGACCUCCUCGACGGCCCUGCUCCAGCAGCAGGGAGCGAGGCUCGGGCUGGGGCACAGUGUGGGGAAGCCCCGGCGCCCACGUCCCCCCGUCCACCCCAGCCCCUCCUCGGCCUCUGGAUCCUCGCCCCACUGCUUUGUUUCUUUGUGGGAUAAUGUUAACAUAGGCCUGCAGGAUUCAUUCUGGCACGCAAAGUCCUGGAAUAGCUUUGGCAAAAGGUGCUAAAUAUGUGAAAUUUCCAGCCGUGCCUUUACACAUCCUCCUCCUCUGUGCAGUUCGGUGGUCCCGAGCCCCCCGGCAGGAAGGUAAUGCUGCAUGUGGAGGCCCAAACAAACGGUCCAUGGCGUGAGGCUGGUGGUGCUUUAGAUGGAUGCCGAGGCCGUGAUCCCCUGCGUGUCACCUUCUCUGUGUGUGGCACAACACAGGAUCGGGACGAGCUCCCUUCACCUCCCUCAAGCGCAAACCACCCUGUAGCAGGCUUCCCUGAACACGGGGAUUGAAAACUGCCUGAGUCAACCUGCACAAAUCCCCUUUGAGGGAGAGAGCAGCUGUCUGUUAGGGCUGAUACGGUUAAUAUUAUGUUCAAACGAACCAUCUGGCCGCACUUGAAUUAUUUUUUAUGCUAGCUUAUAGCGUUAUACAGUGGAUAACUGCUUCUAACCAUUUCACUUCCCGGUGUAGACUGAUUCUCAGCGUGCAAUGCAAAACACCGCGUUUCCCUGUGAGGAAAACUUCCCUGUGGGAAAAUAGCUGCGAAAUUACCUGUGAAUAUUCAUCCUCCCAAUAAACCCGAGGAGGAAAAACCCUAGCAAAGAUAUUCCUCCUUUAUAUACAUUCCUCCUUUAUAUGCAUCCUCCUGUAUAUACACCCCUGAGCUAACCCCCGUGCGUGUUUUACACCCAGCUCCUCCAGCGUGUUAGAAAUCUGGGAGAUGGAAUUUGACCAAAAACCGCUCCUUUCCCCCUGCAGCACGUGCUGGAAUCCCACCUUUAUAUUAUUCACGCGUUCAAAGGAAUAAAAUUAAAUAAAACGAGCCAAAAAACGA